UACGGAGGAUCCAAGCGUUAUCCGGAUUCAUUGGGUUUAAAGGGUGCGUAGGCGGAAUGAUAAGUCAAUGGUGAAAUCCUGCAGCUUAACUGCAGAACUGCCAUUGAUACUGUCAAUCUUGAGUACAUUUGAUGUGGGCGGAAUGUGUCAUGUAGCGGUGAAAUGCUUAGAUAUGACACAGAACACCGAUUGCGAAGGCAGCUCACAAAACUGUAACUGACGCUGAAGCACGAAAGCGUGGGGAGCAAACAGG
rnacentral:rRNA from 1 species